rnacentral:lncRNA from 1 species
GAAAUAUUUCAUAAGAUUCCUAUGAAAUGUUAUUAGAAGGAAAAUGUAGGUGUUAAAAAUAGGGCAACGUAGUAUUUUUUCACAUACUAGAGAAGAUCGAUGAAUCCCUGUAGGAAAACCUACAAGUUCUCUUUUUCCUUUUCUUUUUUUAUUUUGGACACAGGGUCUCGCUAUGUUGCCCAGGCUGAACUCAAAAGUCUUGGGCCCAAGCGAACCUCCUACCUUGCCGUCCUGAGUAGCUGGGACUACAGGCACAUGCCACCAUGCCCAGCUCUUCCAGUUCUUUGAACUAUCCAAAUACAUGUUAUGUUGGUGAUACAAAUCUGUGGUAAAGAAUUACUUCAGAUUGGUGAGAUUUGGAUAUAUGUUUCCAUAUACCCAUACCUAUUGUGGAGGCCACCUUGAUAAGUUCCUGUGGCAGACUAUCUUGUCCAUCUGCACACCCUUAUUGCCUAGCACAGUACCUAUCACAUAGUUUGAACUCAAUAUCUGUUGACUUAAUGAAGAAAGAAGAGAAAAAAGUUUCAUGUGUCCUUGGUUACAGGACCCAUGUUAUUUCUCUCCACUCCUUCCCCUAACAUCCCAAAGGAAAAUAAUAUGAAUAUUUCUUUCUUUUUUUUUUUGACAGGGUCUCACUCACUUUGUCAUCCAGGCUGGAGUGCAGUGGUGGGAUCUCAGCUCACUGCAACCUCCACCUCUUGGGUUUAAGCAAUUCUCCUGCCUCAGCCUCCCAAGUAACUGGGAUUACAGACGAGAAACCCCAGCUGAGGAGGCAAAUAUACUCAAGGAAAGUAAUAGUUUCCAAAUGCCUGGCAGUGCCAGGAAGGGGCCAUGUCCAUGGACCACUAUGUAAGGAUAUCUCAGUCUCUAGUCCAGCGUGGUUUAUGGUGCCAAAUAAGUGCCAGGUGAACUCACUACAUCUGACAAAAUCUCAAGGAACCAAGUUUACCAGAUAAUAUUUAUGAUUAUGUGAAAAAGACUGAGGAAAUCACUCAAGUGAUCCAUCAUACAGCACCUCCAGUUCCAAAGAAUACUGACUUACUUCAGGUGAUAACACUCUACCAUUUUUAAGUUUUUCAUCCACAUUGUGUCUGCGUUUCUGGAGCUGAUCCUUUUCUUUCUGGAGGACUUCAACUUGUUCUGAAAUCUUUGUUUUCUCCUCAGCUGUACUGGUCUGGAGCUGCACAUUCUUUUCAGACAACUCUUGUUCCAGUAAGUUCAGGCUAGAGUGCAAUGGUGCAACCUCAGCUCACUGCAACCUCCGCUUCCCAGGUUCAAGCGAUUCUCCUGCUUCAGCCUCCCUGGUUGCUGGGAUUACAGGUGCUCAUCACCAUGUGCAGCUAAUUUUUUGUAUUUUUAGUAGAGACAGGGUUUUACCAUGUUGCCCAGGCUGGUCUCGAACUCCUGACCUCAGGUGAUCCACCCACCUCAGCCCCCCAAAGUUCUGAGAUUACAGACGUGAGACACUGCACCCGACCGGGGUGUUCAUUUUCUAAAAUCUUAAGUUGAAUGCCUUUUAAAAAAAAAAAGUCUAUUUAAACUCUGAGUUUACUGCCAAGAAUUGCCUUGACUAGGUUUUCAGAGGCAGUAUUUUUCUUUUUCCUUAUUUUCUAAAUUGAACUUUUCUUUCUUGGCUUACAUUCUACAUUGUAGAAUUAUGUUACAAUUUACUAGGGGUUGAGAUGUGGUGUGUUUAAACAUAUGAUUGGUUGGCUUAAACAUAUAAUUUGUUUUUACUUGUAUUUCAUUCUGAUCAGAAAAUAUGGUCAGAUUUAUGGAGAUGUUCACUAUGGUCAAAUAUCAGGUAAUUUGUAAAUUACUGUUCACAGUAAUUAUUUGUAUAUACUACCAUAAGGUUUAUUAUAGAGACACAUACUAUCAUAAGGUUUAUAACUUUAAAAAAGCAUUCCCCUCCCCCAAGCUUUUAAUUGAAUCCUACUCCAAGACGGCCACCUUCAACCUUUUCAGUUGGUUCUUCUGGUGUUUAUGUCCAUGUUUCUAAAUGGCAUUAUCAAUUUUAGACAUUGUCUACUGACUAUGUAUUAUGGGAGAUAAGGAUUUAGCACUCUUGUACCUACUCUACUUCCCAACCUCCUCCAUUCUCCCAAUAUAAGUUACAUUACAGUUUUUAGUUAAAUCAAUAUUCAUUUUCAUUAUUAUAACUUUGUUAUUCAUAGGUGAACUAUCUAGUGUGAAAUGAUCAUGCUUCUGUUUUGAUACAACUUUUUAUUGCACCUUAUAGCUAAUUCUUCUCCAACAGAACUAUAAAAUUCCUCAACACUUUUUCAUUUAUCAAACUUAUCAGGAAAUCUUUUCAAUCUAUUCUUUUCUGGAAACAUUUUGCCUGGAGCAUCCAUCCUCCUGCUCCACACUGGACCAGUUGUCCUGGGUCUUCCCUUUGGUAUUUCCUGAGAAUUUCCAUGUUGGAGCACAUUUUCAGAAUCCUGAGUCUUCCUUUUUCAUAGUUUGUGCCCUUAUUUUUGUGGAGCACAUUCUCUAGUAGUUUCCCUGGAUAGGCUUGAUGGGAGAUUUUUUUUUUUUUUACCUGAAAAUGCUUAUUCUAGCUUCACAUUUGAUUGUUUGGCUAAGAAGAAAAUUAUUUAUUAGACUUAAUUUUCCUCACGAGUUUAAAGAUUGCUUCAGAUCUUAAACUUCUAAUGAGGAAAGCUGAGAAGUCCAAUGCCAUUCUGAUUCUUGCAACUUACAAGUAGUCUUUUUUGUCUAGACGCUUUCAGGACCUUCUUUUUUCCUCAGUCAGUGUAUCCAAACCUUCACAGUGAUAUCUUUUGGGUACUCAUUUUGCUGGCCCCUUGAUGGGCUAUUUCUUU